rnacentral:rRNA from 1 species
AACAUUGAUUUCUCAUCUCAAAUACUGUGCCUUUGGUUUUUCGUUAGGAAAGUGAGAUUCUAUGGUAUUUCAUAGAAUGUUUGCUUACAAAAUGGAAUCCCAAAAAUUCUAGCAUUGUAUGUGAUUUUUAGGGGCAGUAUUUAUAUUGUUGAAAUAUUACAAAUGAAACACACUUUUAGUGUGUUGCAGUAAGCAAUGUUUUUCUCCCUAAAAAGUCGCCACAAGAUGAAUUUAGCUUGAUUUUUUAGUGAGACCCACAAGGGUGAUGGACUGCCUUUUGCAUAAUGAUCCUGCGAGUUGUGGUAUCUGGCAAGGUUAAACCAAUGUGAAGCCGUAGCGAAAGCGAGUCUUAAUAGGGCGCAGCCCCCUCAUUUAUGCCUAACUUCAAGGUAUGCUUGUCUUUUAGUGAUAAAUGCUUGAGUUUGAGAAAAUUUUGUGCGAUAGCCAUUAAGGCUAGUCUCCGCAAUUUUCUUUACACAGUAAUCGUUUCUCAUCUAAAAUACUUUGCAUACAAAACUUUAUAGAAUCCCAAAUGAAUAAUUUAAUUUAAGAUUCUAGUAUCUUGCGAUAAAUUUUUAAGGUUUUCAAGAAAAAUGUGCUGGGAGUUACCUUAGCAGUAAUGACCAAACAUUUUUCGCAGAAUCCUUAAAAAUUAUCCAAGAGACGAAUCUUUUUGAAGUUUAAGUAUAAAUGAGGGGGCUUAAGUCAGAUGCUGCAGACCCGAAGCUGAGUGAUCUAUCCAUGGCCAAGUUGAAAGUGGGGUAACACCCACCGGAGGACUGAACUCGUACCCAUUGAAACGGGUUGGGAUGAGCUGUGGAUAGGGGUGAAAGGCCAAUCAAACUCAGUGAUAGCUGGUUCUCUUCGAAAUAUAUUUAGGUAUAGCCUCAAGUGAUAGUAAUAGGGGGUAGAGCUCUGAUUGGGCUAGGGCUGCUCACCGCGGUACCAACCCCUGUCAAACUACGAAUACCUAUUACCGUAUCUUGGGAGUCAGGCGGUGGGUGAUAAAAUCAAUCGUCAAAAGGGGAACAACCCAGACUACCAACUAAGGUCCCCAAGUUCUAUUCUAAGUGGAAAAUGAUGUGAAGUUACUCAGACAACCAGGAGGUUGGCUUAGAAGCAGCCAUCCUUUAAAGAUAGCGUAACAGCUCACUGGUCUAGUGAUUUUGCGCAGAAAAUAUAACGGGGCUAAGAUAGACACCGAAGUUGUAGAUUGUGCUGAUGCACAGUGGUAGAAGAGCGUUGCAUACAGCGUCGAAGCCAUACCGGUAAGGAGUGGUGGAGCGUAUGCAAGUGAGCAUGCAGGAAUGAGUAGCGAUAAAAGGGGUGAGAAUCCCCUUCGCCGAAAAUCUAAGGUUUCCUACGCUAUGCUCGUCAUCGUAGGGUUAGUCGGGUCCUAAGACAAGUCCGAAAGGGGUAGUCGAUGGAAAAUGGGUUAAUAUUCCCAUACCAAUAUUAGUGUGCGAUGGGGGGACGCAUAGGGUCAAGAUGAGCCAAGUGAUAGAAGUCUUGGUCGAAGGGUGCAAGUAAGAAGAUUGGCAAAUCCGCUUCCUUUUCCCAAACCCAACAGGCUCUUUGAAGUCUUCGGAUGGAUAGGAGAAUCAUUAAGAUCGUCGUGCCAAGAAAAGCCUCUAAGUUUAGCUAAUAUUGCCCGUACCGCAAACCGACACAGGUAGAUGAGAUGAGUAUUCUAAGGCGCGUGAAAGAACUCUCUUUAAGGAACUCUGCAAACUAACACCGUAAGUUCGCGAUAAGGUGUGCCACAGCAAUGUGGUCUCAGCAAAGAGUCCCUCCCGACUGUUUACCAAAAACACAGCACUUUGCCAACUCGUAAGAGGAAGUAUAAGGUGUGACGCCUGCCCGGUGCUCGAAGGUUAAGAGGAUUAGUUAGUAGCAAUACAAAGCUUUGAAUUGAAGCCCGAGUAAACGGCGGCCGUAACUAUAACGGUCCUAAGGUAGCGAAAUUCCUUGUCGGUUAAAUACCGACCUGCAUGAAUGGCGUAACGAGAUGGGAGCUGUCUCAAAGAGUGAUUCAGUGAAAUUGUAGUGGAGGUGAAAAUUCCUCCUACCCGCGGCAAGACGGAAAGACCCCGUGGACCUUUACUACAGCUUGGCACUGCCGAUGGGAGCAUUAUGCGCAGCAUAGGUGGGAGGCUUUGAAAUCUUUACUCUGGUAGAGAUGGAGCCAUCGUUGAGAUACCACCCUUAAUGUUUCUGUCUGCUAACUAGCUUGAGUUAUCCUCAAGUAGGACAAUGCCUGGUGGGUAGUUUGACUGGGGCGGUCGCCUCCUAAAAAGUAACGGAGGCUUGCAAAGGUUGGCUCAAAAUGGUUGGAAAUCAUUUGUAGAGUGUAAUGGCAUAAGCCAGCCUGACUGUAAGACAAACAAGUCAAGCAGAGACGAAAGUCGGUCAUAGUGAUCCGGUGAUUCUGUGUGGAAGGGUCAUCGCUCAAAGGAUAAAAGGUACCCCGGGGAUAACAGGCUGAUCUCCCCCAAGAGCUCACAUCGACGGGGAGGUUUGGCACCUCGAUGUCGGCUCAUCGCAUCCUGGGGCUGGAGCAGGUCCCAAGGGUAUGGCUGUUCGCCAUUUAAAGCGGUACGCGAGCUGGGUUCAGAACGUCGUGAGACAGUUCGGUCCCUAUCUGCCGUGGGCGUAGGAAAGUUGAGGAGAUCUGUCCCUAGUACGAGAGGACCGGGAUGGACAUACCACUGGUGUAGCUGUUGUCCUGCUAUGGGCAUCGCAGCGUAGCUACGUAUGGAUGUGAUAAACGCUGAAAGCAUCUAAGCGUGAAGCCAACUCCAAGAUGAACUUUCCCUGAAGGUCGCAAGAAGACUACUUGCUUGAUAGGGUAGAGGUGUAAGCAUAGUAAUAUGUUUAGCUGACUACUACUAAUAGACCGUUUGGCUUAAUU